rnacentral:tRNA from 1 species
AGAUCGUCGCUCAGGGAGCAAAUCAGAUUCCAACCCUGAUGAGGUGGGUUCGAUACCUACACGAUCUGCCA